rnacentral:rRNA from 1 species
GAUGAACGCUAGCUACAGGCUUAACACAUGCAAGUCGAGGGGAAACGACAUCGAAAGCUUGCUUUUGAUGGGCGUCGACCGGCGCACGGGUGAGUAACGCGUAUCCAACCUGCCCACCACUUGGGGAUAACCUUGCGAAAGUAAGACUAAUACCCAAUGAAAUCUUUAAAAGACAUCUGAACGAUAUUAAAGAUUUAUCGUGUAUGGAUGGGGAUGAGUCUGAUUAGCUUGUUGGCGGGGUAACGGCCCACCAAGGCAACGAUCAGUAGGGGUUCUGAGAGGAAGGUCCCCCACAUUGGAACUGAGACACGGUCCAAACUCCUACGGGAGGCAGCAGUGAGGAAUAUUGGUCAAUGGACGAGAGUCUGAACCAGCCAAGUAGCGUGCAGGAUGACGGCCCUAUGGGUUGUAAACUGCUUUUAUAAGGGAAUAAAGUGAGUCUCGUGAGGCUUUUUGCAUGUACCUUAUGAAUAAGGACCGGCUAAUUCCGUGCCAGCCGCCGCAGUAA